rnacentral:rRNA from 1 species
GACGAACGCUGGCGGCGUGCCUAAUACAUGCAAGUCGAACGCAGUGGGGACGGGUGAGUAACACGUGGGUAACCUCCCAUCAGAGGGGAUAACACUUGGAAACAGGUGCUAAACCGAUACUGAUGGAUGGACCCGCGGGGCAUUAGCUAGUUGGUGAGGUAACGGCUCACCAAGGCCACGAUGCAUAGCCGACCUUGGAGGGUUGUCGGCCACACGGGGAUUGAGACACGGCCCAAACUCCUACGGGAGGCAGCAGGAGGGAAUAUUCGUCAAUGGAGGAAAGUCUGACCGAGCAACGCCGCGUGAGGGAAGAAGGUUUUCGGAUUGUAAAACUCUGUUGUUAGGGAAGCGGUAUCUAACCAGAAAGCCACGGCUAACUACGUGCCAGCAGCCGCGGUAAUAC